AAAAUGAAAAAAAAGGGGUUUGUUUAUAGGUGUUCUCUAUAUCGGAUUGACCCAAAUCGGCCUACAAAAAGAGGAAAUGAGAUAUGAAGUGGCAAUAGAUACAGUGAUAUGAUAACAAGCAUUACGAUAAGCAACUCGUUUUUU
ensembl:ncRNA B0240.6 ncRNA